AAAACUGAGAAAGUCUUUUGUGUCCC
rnacentral:piRNA from 1 species